UCCGAAUUGGUGUAGUGGCUAACAUUUGACGCUCUCAUCCCUCCCAGCCGGGGUGCCGUCAAGCCCGGGGUUCGAUUCCCCGAUUCGGAG